UCUAUCACUACCCACUACAUGUUAUCCCAUAAUACCCAUUAAUCGACGAUAAACCCCCCUUACCUGAGUUAAUCCGGCGAAUCUUUAAGCUUCAAGCUUUUCUCUUCUCCAACCUUCUUCCUCUUGCUCUGUCUCUUUGCCCUUUUCCUCUUUUCAGCCGCUUCUCUGCUUUUCACGUAAAACCCUUUCUUUACCAAAUGGGACUCUUUU
rnacentral:lncRNA from 1 species